UUCCAAAGCCAACUCUCCAUAUCUCUGGGCUGGAUUCCUACAGUAUCCCAGCUGCCACCUGGGUUCUGCAGCCCCAUGGAUGUGGGGAUGGCCACAGAUGCAGCAGUGACAAGUGCCACUUGUCCCCCCAGGAGUGACACUGUGCCUACCAGGUAUGCAGCCUCAUCCUGCUGCUGUCAGGUUUGAAAUCACAGGUAAGGGACAACACACCUUGUGGUGAACUCCAGCAGCUGGGUGAUGGCACGCCAAUCCCAUCCCCUAUUUGCUCCUAUGUAAUCUGUCACCCUGUGAUGCAGUCAGGGCAACAAAUCCAGGCCCUACACAAGGUCUAUUGUGCUCCCAGCAGAAAGGCAAGGAACCAUGGCUCCCUGUACCAGGAUAAGUGAGGAUGAGACUCAGCACUCUUCAGCAGAAAGAGCUCUUUACAUCUGAGGAUUUAAACAUUAUUAUUAAAUAGAGCGCUGCGUAACUAAAAGGUUCACUGAAUACAUUCCAAGUUGUUCCCAGUGACAUCACAAAACACCCCUAUUGCAGAGCCAGUCGUUGUCAAGACAGCCAAACUCCUCUUCUUUGUCCUUGGACACGAGUUAGCCAGUACAAUGCCAUCCCAUCUCAAUGUGGGUCAGCCUCAAUUCCAUACACGUAAGGCAGAAGCCACAGAGGAACACCUGAGCAGCAGAUGAAAGUUCCACACUGGCUUUACUAGGUUGGCUUUGUUCAGCCACAAAGCAUCAAUGCUGCACCCCAUCCAAAAGUUGCAGCAGGAAAGGCUCAGACCUGUAGGGAAAGGUGGAAAUGUAGGCAUGCUUAUAAAAUACCUUGUGGGCUGAUGAGCCAACCUUACCUUCUCCAGGUUGAGUCUUUGCUCAGAAACCAGGAUUGUUUCGUGCACUUUCAUCUUUAGUUCAUUGCUUUGGUGACAACAAGCAACGGACAGCUAAUGGACACCAUUUCUGCAGUAAUAAAACACUGGAAGAUAAAAGAAUUAAUUAAAAGACGAAAACAGCUACAACAUAAAGAUACUUCUAGGAGAAAAACACAUACAACCACUUGUAAAAAGCCAAAAGAACCAUACGAUAGGGAGCCCAGCCAGCUCUUCUUCCUUAAAGAUGGAAGUCAGACACAGCUCACCUGUUUCUAAAACGUGAGGCAGAUAGCCUUGCAAAAUUAGACAUUUUUUACAUGUAUUCCUUAUAAAAGAAAGCUCCACUGAGCUCACCUUGACCACAGAGCCCCUUGGAG
rnacentral:lncRNA from 1 species